GGGGGAAGGACUUCCGCAUGGACGAAGUCUGACGGAGCAACGCCGCGUGAGUGAUGAAGGUUUUCGGAUCGUAAAGCUCUGUUGUUAGGGAAGAACAAGUGCAAGAGUAACUGCUUGCACCUUGACGGUACCUAACCAGAAAGCCACGGCUAACUACGUGCCAGCAGCCGCGGUAAUACGUAGGUGGCAAGCGUUGUCCGGAAUUAUUGGGCGUAAAGGGCUCGCAGGCGGUUUCUUAAGUCUGAUGUGAAAGCCCCCGGCUCAACCGGGGAGGGUCAUUGGAAACUGGGAAACUUGAGUGCAGAAGAGGAGAGUGGAAUUCCACGUGUAGCGGUGAAAUGCGUAGAGAUGUGGAGGAACACCAGUGGCGAAGGCGACUCUCUGGUCUGUAACUGACGCUGAGGAGCGAAAGCGUGGGGAGCGAACAGGAUUAGAUACCCUGGUAGUCCACGCCGUAAACGAUGAGUGCUAAGUGUUAGGGGGUUUCCGCCCCUUAGUGCUGCAGCUAACGCAUUAAGCACUCCGCCUGGGGAGUACGGUCGCAAGACUGAAACUCAAAGGAAUUGACGGGGGCCCGCACAAGCGGUGGAGCAUGUGGUUUAAUUCGAAGCAACGCGAAGAACCUUA
rnacentral:rRNA from 1 species